GAUGAACGCUGGCGGCGUGCCUAAUACAUGCAAGUCGAGCGAACAGAUGAGGAGCUUGCUCCUCUGACGUUAGCGGCGGACGGGUGAGUAACACGUGGAUAACCUACCUAUAAGACUGGGAUAACUUCGGGAAACCGGAGCUAAUACCGGAUAAUAUAUUGAACCGCAUGGUUCAAUAGUAAAAGACGGUUUUGCUGUCACUUAUAGAUGGAUCCGCGCCGCAUUAGCUAGUUGGUAAGGUAACGGCUUACCAAGGCAACGAUGCGUAGCCGACCUGAGAGGGUGAUCGGCCACACUGGAACUGAGACACGGUCCAGACUCCUACGGGAGGCAGCAGUAGGGAAUCUUCCGCAAUGGGCGAAAGCCUGACGGAGCAACGCCGCGUGAGUGAUGAAGGUCUUCGGAUCGUAAAACUCUGUUAUUAGGGAAGAACAAAUGUGUAAGUAACUAUGCACGUCUUGACGGUACCUAAUCAGAAAGCCACGGCUAACUACGUA
rnacentral:rRNA from 1 species